GGAAGAGGAUGUGCCACAGGAGGAAGAGGAGGAGGAAGAGGGGUCAUUUCCACGGUUAUCAGGCCAGUCAUUCACAAGUGGCUUGGAGGGUGGGUUCCUGCACCAGCAUAGGCCAGGUACACAAUUGUCCAGCCAUGGCACAGUUCUGGAGGAUGAGGAGGAGGAUGAUGAGGAUGAACCGCGUUCACAGCAGGGUGGCACUCAACGCAGC